rnacentral:precursor_RNA from 1 species
GGCUUAGGCUUAGGCUUAGGCUUAGGCUUAGGCUUAGGCUUAGGCUUAGGCUGAGGCUUAGGCUUAGGCUUAGGCUUAGGCUUAGGCUUAGGCUUGAUAAUUA